GGAGUGAAGAAUCUCUGGAUUAGUGGCGGACGGGUGAGUAACGCGUGAGCAAUCUGCCUUACACAAAGGGAUAGCCUCGGGAAACCGGGAUUAAUACCAUAUGAUAUCCAUUAACCGCAUGGUUUAUAGAUUAAAGAAUUUCGGUGUAAGAUGAGCUCGCGUCCCAUUAAUUAGUUGGUGAGGGUAACGGCCCACCAAGAUAGCGAUGGGUAGCCGAUCUAAGAGGAUGACCGGCCACAUUGGAACUGAGAAACGGUCCAAACUCCUACGGGAGGCAGCAGUGGGGAAUAUUGCACAAUGGGGGAAACCCUGAUGCAGCGACGCCGCGUGAGCGAUGAAGGCUUUCGAGUCGUAAAGCUCUGUCCUAUGGGAAGAUAAUGACGGU
rnacentral:rRNA from 1 species